GACGAACGCUGGCGGCGUGCUUAACACAUGCAAGUCGAACGGAAAGGCCCUGCUUUUGUGGGGUGCUCGAGUGGCGAACGGGUGAGUAACACGUGAGUAACCUGCCCUUGACUUUGGGAUAACUUCAGGAAACUGGGGCUAAUACCGGAUAGGAGCUCCUGCUGCAUGGUGGUGGUUGGAAAGUUUCGGCGGUUGGGGAUGGACUCGCGGCUUAUCAGCUUGUUGGUGGGGUAGUGGCUUACCAAGGCUUUGACGGGUAGCCGGCCUGGGAGGGUGACCGGCGACAUUGGGACUGAGAUACGGCCCAGUCUCGUACGGGAGGCAGCAGUGGGGAAUAUUGCACAGUGGGCGGGAGCCUGAUGCAGCAGCGCCGCGUGCGGAAUGACGGCCUUCGGGUUGUAAACCGCUUUCGCCUGUGACGAAGCGUGAGUGACGGUAAUGGGUAAAGAAGCACCGGCUAACUACGUG
rnacentral:rRNA from 1 species